CCGAGCCCGGCCUGCUGGGCCCGGGCCGCCGGUGGGGGCGAGGACCCGGAGGAAGUUCACAGGUGCCGCGUGCAAACGCGGGCGAGAAGGGACACCCAGGUGGGACCGGACUUUUGGAGGGAGGUCAGAGGGCAUGAAGUUGUGCCUGCAGCC